rnacentral:rRNA from 1 species
CUACGGGAUGCACCAGUGGGGAAUAUUGGACAAUGGGGGAAACCCUGAUCCAGCAAUGCCGCGUGUGUGAAGAAGGCCUGCGGGUUGUAAAGCACUUUCGGUUGGGAGGACUGCUUCUAGCACUAAUAUUGUUGGAAGCUGACGUUACCUUCAGAAGAAGCACCGGCUAACUCCGUGCCAGCAGCCGCGGUAAUACGGGAGGGUGCAAGCGUUAAUCGGAAUUACUGGGCGUAAAGCGCGCGUAGGCGGCUAGAUCAGUCGGGUGUGAAAGCCCCGGGCUUAACCUGGGAACUGCAUCCGAUACUGUCUAGCUUGAGUACAGGAGAGGAGAGUGGAAUUCCACAUGUAGCGGUGAAAUGCGUAGAUAUGUGGAGGAACACCAAUGGCGAAGGCAGCUCUCUGGCCUGAUACUGACGCUGAGGUGCGAAAGCGUGGGGAGCAAACAGGAUUAGAUACCCCAGUAGUC